rnacentral:rRNA from 1 species
UAAGUAGGUGACAAGCGUUGUCCGGAUUUACUGGGCGUAAAGAGCGCGCAGGCGGUCGAUCAAGUCGAGUGUGAAAGCCCCCGGCUCAACUGGGGAGGGUCAUUCGAUACUGAUCGACUCGAAGGCAGGAGAGGGUAGUGGAAUUCCCGGUGUAGUGGUGAAAUGCGUAGAUAUCGGGAGGAACACCAGUGGCGAAGGCGACUACCUGGCCUGUUCUUGACGCUGAGGCGCGAAAGCUAGGGGAGCAAACGGG